UACAGAGACUGCGAGCGUUAUUCGGAUUCACUGGGCGUAAAGGGUGCGCAGGCGGCCAAGUGUGUGAGGCGUGAAAGCCUGGAGCUUAACUCCAGAAUUGCACCUCAAACUACUUGGCUAGAGCAUUGGAGAGGGUAGCGGAAUUCACGGUGUAGCAGUGAAAUGCGUAGAUAUCAAGUGGAACACCAGUGGCGAAGGCGAGUCUCUGGACAUUUCCUGACGCUGAGGCACGAAAGCCAGGGGAGCAAACGGG
rnacentral:rRNA from 1 species